GGGUGUGGGUUGGGCAGCCAUGGAGUUUUUAGGGAAGUGUGUGGAAGCAGGAGCUGCAUGUGGGAGCUGUUUUGCUGCUAAAAACCCUGAGAGACCAGCCUGUUCAGUCUCCCUGCAUAGCUUCCACCAACUGACCAUAUCAGUGAGAACAGAAAAAUGCCCUUAAAAGAGAGAAAUACAAAUUGUUUCUUGAUUAAGAUAAUACAUAUUGAUGAUCUGUGCCAAAAGCUCUACCAGAAAAGACAAACACUUUUCGGCAAAAAAACCUGAGGACUGACUGAAAUAAGUAUUUCAAUGGAAGAAAGCACACACACUGCACACCCAGUCUAGCAGUGGGUGAAAAUUACCGUUUCUACAGUGGCGUUUAACAUUAGACUUUACACCUUGUAUAUAUAAGUCUCUGUAUUGCUUUCAUUAUCUGGAAUCUUGCAGAGCACAACUGUUUAUUCUGACAUCACUUAUUCAUACAAGCCCUGCGAUCACUGCACCAACAUUUUGUUAGAAGUCUUAUGGUGCUUUUCCAUUUUGUAGGUACCAUACCUUUUC